UACGUAGGGGGCAAGCGUUGUCCGGAUUUAUUGGGCGUAAAGAGCUCGUAGGCGGUCUGUCGCGUCGAAUGUGAAAAUCCGAGGCUCAACCUCGGACCUGCAUUCGAUACGGGCAGACUAGAGUUCGGUAGGGGAGUCUGGAAUUCCUGGUGUAGCGGUGAAAUGCGCAGAUAUCAGGAGGAACACCGGUGGCGAAGGCGGGACUCUGGGCCGAUACUGACGCUGAGGAGCGAAAGCGUGGGGAGCAAACAGG
rnacentral:rRNA from 1 species